CCUACGGGUGGCAGCAGUGGGGGAUAUUGCACAAUGGGGGAAACCCUGAUGCAGCGACGCCGCGUGUGGGAAGACGGUCUUCUGGAUUGUAAACCACUGUCCCCAGGGACGAAAAUGACGGUACCUGGGGAGGAAGCUCCGGCUAACUACGUGCCAGCAGCCGCGGUAAUACGUAGGGAGCAAGCGUUGUCCGGAAUUACUGGGUGUAAAGGGAGCGUAGGCGGGGAUGCAAGUUGGGUGUCAAAACUACCGGCUCAACCGAACGUAGCACUUAAAACGGCAGCUCGUGAGUGAAGUAGAGGGAGGGGGAAGGCGUGGGGUAGCGGGGAAAGGCAUAGAUAUAGAGGAGAACCCAGAGGGCGAGGGCAGCCUACUGGUUUUUUAUGGACGCGCAGGCACGAAAGUGUGGGGAUAAAACAGGAUUAGAACCCCUGGGAGUC
rnacentral:rRNA from 1 species